AACGUAGGAGCCAAGCGUUAUCCGAAUUCACUGGGCGUAAAGCGCGUGCAGGCGGCUGGGUAAGUUGGAUGUGAAAUCUCCUGGCUCAACUGGGAGAGGCCGUUCAAUACUACCUGGCUUGAGGGCGACAGAGGGAGGUGGAAUUCCGGGUGUAGUGGUGAAAUGCGUAGAUAUCUGGAGGAACAUCGGUGGCGAAGGCGACAUCCUGGACCGGUAUUGACGCUGAGGCGCGAAAGCCAGGGGAGCAAACGGG
rnacentral:rRNA from 1 species